CCUGGCUCAGGACGAACGCUGGCGGCGUGCCUAAUACAUGCAAGUCGAACGAACUCUGGUAUUGAUUGGUGCUUGCAUCAUGAUUUACAUUUGAGUGAGUGGCGAACUGGUGAGUAACACGUGGGAAACCUGCCCAGAAGCGGGGGAUAACACCUGGAAACAGAUGCUAAUACCGCAUAACAACUUGGACCGCAUGGUCCGAGUUUGAAAGAUGGCUUCGGCUAUCACUUUUGGAUGGUCCCGCGGCGUAUUAGCUAGAUGGUGGGGUAACGGCUCACCAUGGCAAUGAUACGUAGCCGACCUGAGAGGGUAAUCGGCCACAUUGGGACUGAGACACGGCCCAAACUCCUACGGGAGGCAGCAGUAGGGAAUCUUCCACAAUGGACGAAAGUCUGAUGGAGCAACGCCGCGUGAGUGAAGAAGGGUUUCGGCUCGUAAAACUCUGUUGUUAAAGAAGAACAUAUCUGAGAGUAACUGUUCAGGUAUUGACGGUAUUUAACCAGAAAGCCACGGCUAACUACGUGCCAGCAGCCGCGGUAAUACGUAGGUGGCAAGCGUUGUCCGGAUUUAUUGGGCGUAAAGCGAGCGCAGGCGGUUUUUUAAGUCUGAUGUGAAAGCCUUCGGCUCAACCGAAGAAGUGCAUCGGAAACUGGGAAACUUGAGUGCAGAAGAGGACAGUGGAACUCCAUGUGUAGCGGUGAAAUGCGUAGAUAUAUGGAAGAACACCAGUGGCGAAGGCGGCUGUCUGGUCUGUAACUGACGCUGAGGCUCGAAAGUAUGGGUAGCAAACAGGAUUAGAUACCCUGGUAGUCCAUACCGUAAACGAUGAAUGCUAAGUGUUGGAGGGUUUCCGCCCUUCAGUGCUGCAGCUAACGCAUUAAGCAUUCCGCCUGGGGAGUACGGCCGCAAGGCUGAAACUCAAAGGAAUUGACGGGGGCCCGCACAAGCGGUGGAGCAUGUGGUUUAAUUCGAAGCUACGCGAAGAACCUUACCAGGUCUUGACAUACUAUGCAAAUCUAAGAGAUUAGACGUUCCCUUCGGGGACAUGGAUACAGGUGGUGCAUGGUUGUCGUCAGCUCGUGUCGUGAGAUGUUGGGUUAAGUCCCGCAACGAGCGCAACCCUUAUUAUCAGUUGCCAGCAUUAAGUUGGGCACUCUGGUGAGACUGCCGGUGACAAACCGGAGGAAGGUGGGGAUGACGUCAAAUCAUCAUGCCCCUUAUGACCUGGGCUACACACGUGCUACAAUGGAUGGUACAACGAGUUGCGAACUCGCGAGAGUAAGCUAAUCUCUUAAAGCCAUUCUCAGUUCGGAUUGUAGGCUGCAACUCGCCUACAUGAAGUCGGAAUCGCUAGUAAUCGCGGAUCAGCAUGCCGCGGUGAAUACGUUCCCGGGCCUUGUACACACCGCCCGUCACACCAUGAGAGUUUGUAACACCCAAAGUCGGUGGGGUAACCUUUUAGGAACCAGCCGCCUAA
rnacentral:rRNA from 1 species